rnacentral:rRNA from 1 species
CCUACGGGAGGCAGCAGUGAGGAAUAUUGGUCAAUGGACGCAAGUCUGAACCAGCCAUGCCGCGUGCAGGAAGACGGCUCUAUGAGUUGUAAACUGCUUUUGUACGAGGGUAAACGCAGAUACGCGUAUCUUUCUGAAAGUAUCGUACGAAUAAGGAUCGGCUAACUCCGUGCCAGCAGCCGCGGUAAUACGGAGGAUUCAAGCGUUAUCCGGAUUUAUUGGGUUUAAAGGGUGCGUAGGCGGGCUGUUAAGUUAGAGGUGAAAUCCCGAGGCUCAACUUCGGAAUUGCCUCUGAUACUGGUCGGCUAGAGAGUAGUUGCGGUAGGCGGAAUGUAUGGUGUAGCGGUGAAAUGCUUAGAGAUCAUACAGAACACCGAUUGCGAAGGCAGCUUACCAAGCUACCUCUGACGUUGAGGCACGAAAGCGUGGGGAGCAAACAGGAUUAGAUACCCCUGUAGUC